AAACCCCACUACGUGUAGUCGUCUCAUAGUAUGGUGAGAAUAAGCAUCGGCUAACUCCGCGCCAGCAGACGCGGUAAGGCGAAGGAUGCAAUUGUUAUCCGGAUUCAGUGGGUUUCAAGGGAGCGUUGUUGUAAUGCUAAGUCAGUGGUUUAAUCUCCGAACUUAACUCGGAAAUUGCCAUUGACGAGUUGGUCUUGAGAAUAGUCGCCGUUGACGGAAUAUGUCAUGUGAAAUGAAAUACAUAGAGAUGUCACAGAGCACCGAAGCGAAGGCCGUUGACGAAACUAUAAGUGACAGUGAGGCUGGAAAGGAGGGGAUCAAACAGGAUUAGAUGCCCUGGUCUCCGCACUGAAAGGGAUGAUUACUCGCUGCUAGAGGGCGACUUCUAGUGG
rnacentral:rRNA from 1 species